AUUGAACGCUGGCGGCAGGCCUAACACAUGCAAGUCGAGCGAGCGGCGGACGGGUGAGUAAUGUAUGGGAAAAUGCCUGCUGGAGGGGGAUAACUACUGGAAACGGUAGCUAAUACCGCAUACCAUCAGAAGUGCGCAGAUGGGCUUAGCUAGUAGGUGGGGUAACGGCUCACCUAGGCGACGAUCCCUAGCUGGUCUGAGAGGAUGAACAGCCAUACUCGAACUGUGUCACGCUCGAAUCUCCUACGGGCGGCAGCAGAUGGAAUUAUGGCACAAUGUGCGCAAGCCUGAUGCAACCAGGCCGCUUUGCUGCAGAAGGCCUCCGGCUUGCAAAGCACUUUCAGCGUGUAGGCUUUGCCCGCAGAAGAAGCACCCGCUAACUCCGUGCCAGCAGCCGCGGUAAUAC
rnacentral:rRNA from 1 species